GACAGAGGUGCCAAGCGUUAGGCGGAAUCACUGGGCUUAAAGCGUGUGUAGGCGGAUCGUUAAGUACCUUGUGAAAUCCCACGGCUCAACCGUGGAACUGCUGGGUAUACUGGCGGUCUUGAGCCACCUAGGGGCAACUGGAACAAGCGGUGGAGCGGUGAAAUGCGUAGAUAUCGCUUGGAACGCCAACGGUGAAAACAGGUUGCUGGGGGGUGUGCUGACGCUGAGACACGAAAGCCAGGGGGAGCGAACGGGG
rnacentral:rRNA from 1 species